AUUGAACGCUGGCGGCAUGCCUUGCACAUGCAAGUCGAGCGGCAGCACGGGUGCUUGCACCUGGUGGCGAGUGGCGAACGGGUGAGUAAUACAUCGGAACAUGUCCUGUAGUGGGGGAUAGCCCGGCGAAAGCCGGAUUAAUACCGCAUACGAUCUACGGAUGAAAGCGGGGGACCUUCGGGCCUCGCGCUAUCGGGUUGGCCGAUGGCUGAUUAGCUAGUUGGUGGGGUAAAGGCCUACCAAGGCGACGAUCAGUAGCUGGUCUGAGAGGACGACCAGCCACACUGGGACUGAGACACGGCCCAGACUCCUACGGGAGGCAGCAGUGGGGAAUUUUGGACAAUGGGCGAAAGCCUGAUCCAGCAAUGCCGCGUGUGUGAAGAAGGCCUUCGGGUUGUAAAGCACUUUUGUCCGGAAAGAAAUCCUUGGCCCUAAUACGGUCGGGGGAUGACGGUACCGGAAGAAUAAGCACCGGCUAACUACGUG
rnacentral:rRNA from 1 species